UGUGUGGUAAAUGGGGUUGGUUCGCCUGUGCCUGGUUUGCGGAUUUUGCACUGCUGCGUUCAUGGCAGAUAAUUGGAUCAGUUGGGCAUUUUCUUGUAAAUAGAGAGGUAUUGUAGAGAAAAUUGAAAUGCCUACCAUAGAAGUAGAGGAUUUUUUUACGUCUCCAACCGAAGAUUUAUUGGAUAGUUUGACAAAAGAGCAAUUGGGUCAGGUUGCGGUACACUACCAAUUUGAUAUUCCGAAGGGUUUAAAAAAACAAGAACUCCAAGAAUGUGUGAAAUCAAAAUUGGUAGAUAUGUCGGUAAUUUCUAGUAAAAUUACCGCCGAGACAUCUGGUCCACCGACAACGACGUCAACCCCUAAUGCAGGUGAAAAGGUGGGGAGUCUGGAAAACCAGGCCGAGCUCUUAAAGCUUCAGCUCGAAUACAAACGGUUGGAGGCCGCCGAGCAAGAGAAGGAUCGCGCAUUUCAGCGUGAGUUUGAACUGAAACGUUUAGAAGCAGAACAAAAUAAACGUGAGUAUGAAAGGGAGCGUGAAGCCUCGGAAAGAGAAAAUCGGCGUGAAUUAGACCUCAAACGUUUAGAAGCCGAGGAAAAGAAGCGUGAAUUAGACCUCAAACGUUUAGAGGCCGAGGAAAAGAAGCGUGUGUAUGAAAGGGAACGUGAAUUGGAACAGUCAGCCGAAAGAGAGAAAGAACGUCUAUUCGAGCUAGAAAAAAUAAGACUACAGCAACAGCAGAAAGAUAGUGAUAUGGAAAUCCAAAAAGAGAAGCUGAGAUUAAUUGCUGAAGGGAAGAUGCGGGUCGGUGAUGAUUUCCCUGCGCCGUCUGGCACUCACGGUGAUCUUUCCAAAAUGAUUAGGUUUUUACCUAAAUUUAAUGAACGUGAUCCCGAUAUCUUCUUUUCGCUUUUUGAGGGUAUCGCUGAUGAGCAUAGUUGGAGUGACACUCAGCGUACGCUGUUACUUCAAACUGUCUUUACCGGGAGAGCCCAAGAUGCGUUUGUGGCAUUGUCGUUGACAGAGCGAAAACAGUACAGGUGCGUCAAAGAGGCUGUUCUGAGAGCAUUCGAACAAGUUCCAGAGUAUUAUCGACAGCGGUUCAGAAACUGGAAAAGAGCUGAACGGCAAACUUAUGCUGAAGUUGGUAG
rnacentral:lncRNA from 1 species